GCUGUGUAGAUGUGUAGAUGAAUCAGGUCUGGGCUGUGUAGAUGUGUAGAUGAAUCAGAUCAGGUCUGGGCUGUGUAGAUGAAUCAGGUCUGGGAUGUGUAGAUGAAUCAGGUCUGGGCUGUGUAGAUGUGUAGAUGAAUCAGGUCUGGGUUGUGUAGAUGUGUAGAUGAAUCAGAUCAAGUCUGGGCUGUGUAGAUGAAUCAGGUCUGGGCUGUGUAGAUGUGUAGAGGAAUCAGGUCUGGGCUGUGUAGACGUAUCAGGUCUGGACUGUGUCGAUGAAUCAGAUCAGGUUAGAUCAGAUUAGAUAUGCGUAGAUGAGUGUGUGUUUAGAUAUGCGUAGUGUGUGGUUGUGUACGAGCUCAUGUGUGUGUAGAUGUGUAGCCUCUUCUCUUUUAUAUAGGGAAUUAUCUGUGUGAUGGUAUUUUGCAUCUCUUACCGUCUCUCUGGGAAGAAAGAGAGAGGAGAGAGAGGCAGGGAGGCAGACUACCGUCUCUCUGGGAAGAAAGAGAGAGGAGAGAGAGGAGAGAGAGGCAGACUAAUGUCUCUCUGGGAAGAAAGAGAG
ensembl:lncRNA